rnacentral:rRNA from 1 species
GAUGAACGCUGGCGGCGUGCCUAAUACAUGCAAGUCGAGCGAAGCGGGGACGGGUGAGUAACACGUGGGUAACCUCCUAUAAGCCUGGGAUAACUUCGGGAAACCGGAGCUAAACCGGAUACUUAUGAUUGAAUCCGCGCUGCAUUAGCUAUUUGGUAAGGUAACGGCUUACCAAGGCAACGAUGCAUCGCCGACCUGAGGGUGGGAUCGGCCAAACUGGAACUGGGACACGGUCCAGACUCCUACGGGAGGCAGCAGUAGGGAAUCUUCCGCAAUGGGCGAAAGCCUGACGGGGCAACGCCGCGUGAGUGAGGAAGUUCUUCGGUUCGUAAAACUCGGUUAUUAGGGAAGCGGUACCUAAUCAGAAAGCCACGGCUAACUACGUGCCAGCAGCCGCGGUAAUAC